rnacentral:misc_RNA from 1 species
UCAUCAUUUUCAAAAGACCAAUCAAAGUAAUGUAUUAAAUUGGCUAAAAUCAAUGGAAUUUGCCUUAUAGCCAUGGGUAGACCUGGACAAAUUCGCCUUCCUGAACCAAAAGGUAUUAGCUCAAAAUCUUGACCUUUCAAGUCUAAACUUGAUCCGAGAAACCUUUCAGGCUUAAAUGACAAAGGCUCUUCCCAAACUGAAGGAUCGCGUCCAAUUGCCCAAACAUUG